rnacentral:ncRNA from 1 species
ACUCGGGCACGAUCCUUACGCACGCUGUGGCGUUGCGACGUGUAGUGAUGCACCCACGCACGGUGUGGAGAGAGGGAACCGACCCGUAGUUCAACCCUGAGGGA